AAAGUAUAAGCCUGACCUAAUAGCUGCGUUAAUAAAUAAUUAUCCCUGGGGCGAGGUCUUGAAUGAAUGGCCUGGGAAUGACCUGAGUAUGGUGGGCUUAUAUUUGGAGGUUUACGGUAUUUUCUUUUUACGAUUUUCAUGCUUAAAAAAGUAAUAUUUCAAAUCCGACUAUGAGGACUGGACUAGAUUUCAAGUUCGUGCAAUUUGAUCAAGCCCGAGGCGAAGUCGAGGAUUGGAUCAAAAUGCGAGGAGUUUGAUCUAGACAAAACUUUCAUCACAGCUUGAAAGAGCAUCACAAAAUUAGUAAUAUUCCAAAGUUUCGUUGCGAAAUGUUGUAAAAUGCGGAUAAUAUAACCUUGCGAAGUUUGCCGUUUUUCAGUCAUUUUGUAUUACGCACGGGAAAUUGACAGCCCAAUCGGGUGUUGGGGCAUCAAAUUCCCCUUUGUAAUACAAAAUGACUGAAAAUUGCAAAUUUCACAAGGCUAUA